UACAGAGGGUGCGAGCGUUGUCCGGAAUCACUGGGCGUAAAGGGCGCGUAGGUGGCGGCCCAAGUCCGUGGUGAAAGCUCGCCGCUUAACGGCGAGUCGGCCACGGAGACUGGGUGGCUCGAGCACUGUAGGGGCAGAUGGAAUUCCGGGUGUAGCGGUGGAAUGCGUAGAGAUCCGGAGGAACACCAGUGGCGAAGGCGAUCUGCUAGGCCUGACCUGACACUCAGACGCGACAGCAUGGGGAGCGAACGGG
rnacentral:rRNA from 1 species